rnacentral:rRNA from 1 species
UACGAAGGGGGCUAGCGUUGCUCGGAAUCACUGGGCGUAAAGGGUGCGUAGGCGGGUCUUUAAGUCAGUGGUGAAAGCCCGGAGCUCAACUCCGGAACUGCCAUUGAAACUGUAAGACUUGAGGAUGAGAGAGGUGAGUGGAAUUCCCAGUGUAGAGGUGAAAUUCGUAGAUAUUGGGAAGAACACCGGUGGCGAAGGCGGCUCUCUGGGACGGUACUGACGCUGAGACGCGAAAGCGUGGGGAGCGAACAGG